rfam:Ictidomys tridecemlineatus contig117832, whole genome shotgun sequence.
GAGAUCCUGUUUUUAAAUAACAUACAAAACAGGGCUGGGGAUGUGACUCAGUGGUAGAGUGCCCCUAAAUUCAAUCCCUGGUACCCUCUGUCAGGUCGGUGGUGGUUACUUAGGAACAAGAACCAAGGAGCCUGAGCAUGGGAAAGAAACACCUGUCAAUCAGCAGAGUCUUCUGGCCAAUCCUGGAUUUCAUCCAGUUUCACCAACCAACUUUACCAGGAUAAGAGACUCUAAAAACACCUUUUCCUGUCCCAAGCCCUUCCCUUCCUGCCUUAAGCCCCAUAAACUUCCAGUCCCAUGGAGCUCCCACCCGUUUUCUCCUGUGACUCUUCUCCUGUUUACUCUGUCUGUCUGAUCAAGUUCUGCCCUGGAGCAUCAUCUCAAAUAAAGCCUCAUUCAGCGGCCUUUUAAAAUCUGUCUCCUUUGGUCAACAUCCAUUGCUGGACCUCACACCCUCCCCUACCAGAAAAAAUAAAAUAAAAACACAAAGCAUUGAGAGGGCCUGCUAGGGGUGUUAAUUCCAUGUGAUUUCUGCCCAGUCCUCUGAAUGUCAAAGUGAAGAAAUUCAGUGAAGUGCAGUUAAACGGAGGGAGUAACUAUGAUAAUCUUAAGGCCCUCAAAUGCCUCCUCUUCUAAUUAGUGAUGCAUGAAUAGAUGAAAAAGAUUCCCACUUUCUCUAUGUACUAUCCAGCAAAACCACAGCCAAAGGAAUGGGCUCUGCAGACCCAGU